rnacentral:lncRNA from 1 species
CCCCACAGUCCAAGUUAAUCAAGGGAUCAGAGUCCUCAUCUCAUGGGACUCUAUCCUUAUCCACUUGGGGUGCAUGCCAUAUCUGAUUAUGGCACCCACUUUGAGGGUAAAAUUAGUAAGUGGAUAGUCCACAAAAACUCUCCAAUAACCUCUUGCCAAGUGGCCUUCAGUCCAAGGUCCAUGGGUCAACGUUUGACCAAUGUCCUAAAACGGAAAUGGCAGGUGACAGGAAUUAGCAGGUGUUGUCUUAAAUUCAUCUCAUGAAUUAAGACAAAUCCUUUCUGAGCUGGACU